UUCCUACGGGGGGCAGCAGUGGGGAAUAUUGCACAAUGGGCGAAAGCCUGAUGCAGCAACGCCGCGUGAAGGAAGACGGUUUUCGGAUUGUAAACUUCUGUUCUUAGUGAAGAAUAAUGACGGUAACUAAGGAGCAAGCCACGGCUAACUACGUGCCAGCAGCCGCGGUAAUACGUAGGUGGCAAGCGUUGUCCGGAAUUACUGGGUGUAAAGGGUGCGUAGGCGGCCUGCUAAGUCUGGAGUGAAAGGUACCGGCUCAACCGGUACAGGCUCUGGAAACUGGCGGGCUAGAGAGCAGGAGAGGG
rnacentral:rRNA from 1 species